rnacentral:rRNA from 1 species
GUAGGGGGCGAGCGUUAUCCGGAAUUACUGGGUGUAAAGGGAGCGUAGACGGCGAGGUAAGCCUGAAGUGGAAGCCCGCGGCCCAACCGCGGAACUGCUUUGGGAACUGUUUUGCUGGAGUAUGGGAGGGGUAAGCGGAAUUCCUGGUGUAGCGGUGAAAUGCGUAGAUAUCAGGAGGAACACCGGUGGCGAAGGCGGCUUACUGGACCAUAACUGACGUUGAGGCUCGAAAGCGUGGGGAGCGAA